rnacentral:misc_RNA from 1 species
AAACAAACAAACAAACAAACAAAACACGAUGGAACAUAUAAGCAAAAUAAAACCAUAAAGUGAAUAUCAUCUCAUUCUCGUUACCAACAAAUUAAUAAAAUAGAAGACAAACAAAUAAGAAAAAACAUGACCAUUAAAAAAACUAAAUUAAUGCAUUGUUCUUGCAAUGUGGCGUGCAACUAAUUAGUGGUGGAAAUGGAUCACAGGCUAGGAAUUGAGAGAAGAAGAAGGAAAGGUGGAUCAUUUUGAAGGUGAUGCUGAAUCCUUGGUUGGAAUCGUGAGAGUCUUAACAACCUCGAUCAUCACUCUUGGGGAUCUUUCUUCUUCGUUUUCUUGGUGUAGUUGAAAUUAUCGAAUUGAAAUUCCAACAUCAGUUUUCCCGAUUCCACACUUGAAAUUCCUCUUUAAAUUCACACAUAAUUUGGAUUCCGUGCCGAGUGAUAAAAAUGAAGAGCUUUGAUUAUCUCUCUUCCUUUGCGCAUAUAUUAGUUUGUUGCGUGUCUGCCUCAUUAUGGUUUUUGAAAAAUGAAAUAUUCACUAGGUAAGUUUCAAGGAUUCAAGCUUGGACAGAAAGAGAACAACGGAUGGGGAAGGGCUAUGUACAAACAUUUGGGUUUGGAGAGAAGGGAGGAAACACACUAUUUUUGUAAAGAGAAGGGGAGGGGAGGUCAUCAAUUUGCAUAUGAAAGUGGGGAGGAGAUUGCCAUUUCGCAUUGAUUUGAUCCAUAUUAGGGAUGCGAAUCUGAUU